GGCCUCAUAGUGUAGCGGUUAUCACUUCGGAUUCUGACCAUGCGUACCAUUCCGGCGACCCCAGUUCAAUCCUGGGUGAGGCCU